GUGCCAGCUUCUGCAGCACAUAUACUAAAAUUAAAAUGGUACAGAGAAUAUUAGCAUGGUCCCUGCAAAUGAUGGCAAGCAAAUUAAAUAAAAAAAAUACAUGAAC